GUCUAGAUAGCUCAGUGGUUAGAGCGUAGGGCUGAAAACUCUUGAGUCAUGGGUUCGAGUCCCAUUCUGGACA
rnacentral:tRNA from 1 species